UUUACAUCCUCGAAAAGACAUUGUAGUCACCAGCAGUGAUGACCACCUCUGGAAAAUGUGGGCUUUACCUGAUGGCAACAUCAUCAUGACAGUGGCACCCAGCUGGUCACUUCAAGUCGGGAUACCACAGUGCGGAUAUGGGACUUUUCAAACCGUGGAUGCAUUCUGACUUUAGAAGGUCAUGCCCACGCUGUACAGGACUGCUCGUGGCAUUCCUGUGGUGAUUUUGUGGCUUCUGCCUCCAAGGACACCACCAGUAAAUUAUGGGAUGUUAACAGAAGCUCCAUGUUUUAAGAUUAUGACUCCUAAGUUCUCAUGUUUCUCAAGGAGGUCUAAGAGAAGGAUGUAACAGUAUUUUAUUGCAGACUUGUAAACUUGCG